rnacentral:rRNA from 1 species
AUGCCACGGCACUGCCAGUGUGGUGGUGACUGCUACCUGGUCGGCGGACCUGCUCUGUACAAUAUGGUGGAAGGGAAGAAGAAUUCUUGCCAACUUGAGGCAACAAUCUCCAUCGUCAACAACUCACAGGGCGCGCGCAUCGACCGGCGGCAUGAACCUCACCUUCCGCGCCUCGGGCGCAAGAACGGCCGGGCGGAACGGAGAAGUACAACGAACCUGGACGAAAACCUGUACAGAUCCAUCCUGGGAGACGGCCACGGCGGCGCCGCCACAGAGCUCUCGAGUCGACGAGUCAACCAUAGUCGGAGAGUGAUCAUAAAAAAAAAACCAUAG